AAUUCGUAUCCUUACAAUCU
rnacentral:snRNA from 1 species